rnacentral:rRNA from 1 species
UACGAGGGGUGCAAGCGUUAUUCGGAUUAAUUGGGCGUAAAGGGUGCGCAGACGGUUUGUUAAGUCACUUGUUAAAUUCCUCGGCCUAACUGAGGGUAUGCGAGUGAUACUGGCGAACUAGAGGGUGGAAGAGAGAAGUGGAAUUCUCGGAGUAGCGGUAAAAUGCGUAGAUCUCGAGAGGAACACCAAUGGCGAAGGCAGCUUCUUGGUCCAUUCCUGACGUUCAUGCACGAAAGCGUGGGGAGCAAACAGG